rnacentral:rRNA from 1 species
UAGGGAAUCUUCGGCAAUGGACGAAAGUCUGACCGAGCAACGCCGCGUGAGUGAAGAAGGUUUUCGGAUCGUAAAACUCUGUUGUUAGAGAAGAACAAGGACGUUAGUAACUGAACGUCCCCUGACGGUAUCUAACCAGAAAGCCACGGCUAACUACGUGCCAGCAGCCGCGGUAAUACGUAGGUGGCAAGCGUUGUCCGGAUUUAUUGGGCGUAAAGCGAGCGCAGGCGGUUUCUUAAGUCUGAUGUGAAAGCCCCCGGCUCAACCGGGGAGGGUCAUUGGAAACUGGGAGACGUGAGUGCAGAAGAGGAGAGUGGAAUUCCAUGUGUAGCGGUGAAGUGCGUAGAUAUAUGGAGGAACACCAGUGGCGAAGGCGGCUCUCUGGUCUGUAACUGACGCUGAGGCUCGAAAGCGUGGGGAGCAAACAGG